CCACCCAGGGACGGCGUCUUUUG
rnacentral:piRNA from 1 species